GCGCGGGGGUGGGUGGACGCGCAUUUACUCAACCACUCCCCCAAUCCCUGCUCCCCCUCUUCGCCUCCGCGCCCAUAUCUAGGGCUUCGGUGUCUCCCCCUCUCCCAUCCCUCACCGCCUCCCCUCCUCCUCCUCCGCGCUCUCUCUCUCUCUCUGCGCCGUCCAUCCCCAUCUGGACGGCUGAUAAACGCCUUCGCCCAAACCGGCUCUGCCUAUAAGAGAGAGAGAGAAAUGGAGGAGGGAGGGGAGUGGGUGCCGGGGUUGCAUGAAGUCGUGGUCAUUUCUGGAGGCCCAGCUGGAGGCCCGGGACCUGCUUCUCGUCUCCUUUUGUCUUUAUUCCACCUUAUUGGCUUUUAUCUUCUCCCCACCCCCUUUCUCUCCGCCAACGUAAUCAUUUCAGCUCCAUCUCUCUCUCUCCCUCCCUCUCUCUAAUUUCCCCCCCUAGAAAGAAGCCGGGACUUGUGGGGGAAGAAACAAGAAGAGAGGAAGCUUUUUCUUUGAGGGGAAUGUUGUCUGGCUCGAGGCCUCCAAUUCUUGGGCUUUUUUUUUUCUUUAGAUCUGGUGGUAAAGAGAGAAAAAAAAAAAGGGAUCUCGGACCAGGCUUCAUUCCCCCCAAUCACAGCUUCCAUCAUCAUCUCCGACUCUGGAAUCGGCUGAAAUCUUCGAUCUAUAUGCAGGAUGGUUAUGUGGGGGAGAAGGGACCGGGGAUGCAGAUUGGUGUAAUGAUGAUGGGUUUGGACUCCCGCGCUCUCUAUCAUUCUGCUUCUGUUCCCAUUCUUGCUUUCUUUCUUUUCCAGUCUGACAGGAAAAAGGGCAUGCGCGAAAAGGUUUUCAUCAUAACUUUUGAAGGGAUCUUCUCUUUCCCUCAUUCCUUUUCUCCCCCCUCUCUGCUUCUUGAUCCUUUCGUAGUUACCAAGCUUAUUCAUGACAGGAUGCGAGAUCUAGCUCCCUUUUCCCCCCCCUUUUUUUUUUCCGUUUGAUUUCCAGUACUUAUUUUUCUUGCCUUUUUUGCCGAAAUCAAAAAAAGCAUAUUUCAAUAGUAAAAUGUUCGAAAAUCCAGCCGAGCGGUCUUUCUUUUAAGGGCUUAUUUUUAUCUUACUGUGAAUCGUUUUGUGCUCUCGGAUCCAUGGUUAUGGAUCCCUCGCCUUGAUCGGAAAAGAGGGAAGUAUUCUAUGUCUCUAACCCUUUGUUUUGUUUUGAUGUGUUCGCUUUGCCAUACCGUGAUUCACAUAUAUCAUGCGAUGCGGCCAUGUUUAAGGAGUCACAUGCAUGCAGUUCUGGUUUAGAUUUUCGCGAGGCAAGUAUUGGAUCCGAUAAUAUCUCUGAUACAUGUCCCAUGUGUAAGAGAUCGAUCUCUUUGUUCCCAUCCUCCAUUUCUCUUUACAGUAUUUUCGCUUUUUGGACACAACUUUUUCUUGAUGGAAAUAUUCAAUUUGGCUGCAAGCAUGGAUGGGAUUAGUUGUUGGCAGCCAGUAUCGACCAAGUCAACACCAAUACCUCAUUAUUCCUACUUUGGAAUGGAUACUGCACAUCUCGAAUCCUUACUAGUAUCUUUCUAUAUCAUAAGUUUUCUACAUAAGUUUUGAGUUUUGACGAUGAGCAGCACUAUUCUAGCUCAACACUUUACCUUGUUUGAUCCACAUAUCUCACUCAUUAAAUUGCUAAGUUAUCCUUUUUCUUUCUUGUCACCCUUUUUCUCUUUCAAGCAUUUGAAUUCACCGUAUGCUUUAGCUGUCGCCAAGUAUAAAAGAUUCCAUAUUACUUAUUUGAUGCCUUGCAUUCAUGGGGUUCUGAAGUUUACAGCGGAUGGGUUCUGCUUGCACCCUAGAACUAGUAGAAAGCCUCCGGUUGUAUGCUCUAAUCUCGGCUUCUCUUUGAGCUGUUACCAUCAUUAAUGCUGAUAUGUUGUUUUCUCGCUGCUGUUUUUUGUUUCUGCUGCGUGGCAUUAAUCUCGCUUUGUUGAGAGUAGAGACUACUCCAUUUAGAAGAGCAAGAAGAUUAGGUCGGACGGUGGUUAUCCAGGGCAAGGGCAGCGAUCAAAGCCACGGAGACACGUGUGAUGUUGUCCCGUAGCUCGUGGGAAUGGUCAUUUCAGCUGCUGUCAUCCAGUGGCUCAGAAUCGACAUGGUUAGGAGUUGUAGGGUUUGUAGGGAGGGGUGGUCUAGGGUUUGCCGGAGAGGAAAAAGAGGAAGCUACAUCCAAAUGUCUGUCUCCACCACCCCCUUCAGCCAGAGAGACCAACGUCAGCUGUCCCAUGCAUUGGAUCCCAUCACCUGACAGCCUUUCUAAGGCUGCCUUUGCCCUCCGGGAACCCACCCCCCUCGCAACUACUUUUAGGAGGUUAUGCCUUUUGGCUUGGGGAAGAUCCAACUUUAUCUUGGCUUUUGGUGCUUUUUUACCUUUGGGAGUCUCGUGCCCACAACUUUCCCAUGUUUGAUGGCAACUCCACACCCGCACAAGAAAUUGGAAUGGUACAGCAAUCAGGACAAGUGGUUUGUGUGAUGCUCGUCUCGCUUUCAACUCUUUCGAACGCUGCAGGAGUGCCAUAUAUAAACAAGGUGCAGAUACAUUCCAGAAAAGAAAAGGAAAAGAAAAAGGAAAAAGGAAUAAAAUAAAAGAGAUGCUUGGUGGCCGAAGACCCACUAAAUAUUGAGCCACAGCAACAAAAUGCCUAGUUGAACUGAAACCAUCACCUUAUGGAGAUAAGGACAAGUUCUAUCUACGUUUGGAUAAGAAAUAUGACGCCGGCCUUCUUGAUCGAAGAAAUCCAUCGCACAUUAUUUCAGUAAGUGGUGUCCUGUCAAAUAGGACUUUUAUAGGAGAUGUUGUCAAACAAAGCAGGCAAUUAUUGAUGAUAUUGAUAGUAAAUAACUUGAGGUGAUAAUGAACGUUUUCUGUUUAACGGAUUUAUUCUCA